UCUGGUGACUCUAGCGAAGGGGUUACACCUGUUCCCAUUCCGAACACAGCAGUUAAGCCCUUCAGCGCCGAUGAUAGUCUUUAUUGGCGAAAGUAGGUCGUUGCCAGAA
rnacentral:rRNA from 1 species